rnacentral:rRNA from 1 species
UAGGGAAUCUUCCGCAAUGGACGCAAGCCUGACGGAGCAACGCCGCGUGAGUGAAGAAGGAUUUCGGUUCGUAAAACUCUGUUGUUAGAGAAGAACAGCGCAUAGAGUAACUGUUAUGCGUGUGACGGUAUCUAACCAGAAAGCCACGGCUAACUACGUGCCAGCAGCCGCGGUAAUACGUAGGUGGCAAGCGUUGUCCGGAUUUAUUGGGCGUAAAGCGAGCGCAGGCGGUCAAUUAAGUCUGAUGUGAAAGCCCCCGGCUCAACCGGGGAGGGUCAUUGGAAACUGGUUGACUGGGGUGCAGAAAGGGGGGGUGGAAUUCCAUGGGUAGCGGUGAAAGGCGUAGAUAUAUGGGGGAACACCAGUGGGGAAGGCGACUCUCUGGUCUGUAACUGACGCUGGGGGUCGAAAGCGUGGGUAGCAAACAGG